GACGAACGCUGGCGGCGUGCCUAACACAUGCAAGUCGAACGGACAGGCCAUGCUUUUGCGGGGCGCACGUUUGGCGAACGCGUGUGUAACACGCGAGUAUCCCCUACCUAUCUUUGGGAUAACUUUAGGAAAAUGGGGCUAAUACCGGAUAGGAGCUCCUGCUCCCUGGUGGGGGUUGGAAAAUUUCGGCGGUUGGGGAUGGAAGCGCGGCUUAUCCGCUUGUUGGUGGGGUAGUGGCUUACCAAGGUUUCGACGGGUAGCCGGCCUGAGAGGGUGGCCGGGCACAAUGGGACUGAGGUACGGACCAGUCUCGUAUGGGAGGCAGCAGGGGAGAAUAUUGCGCAGUGGGCGGAAGCCUGAUACGACAACGCCGCGUGCGUAAUGACGGCCUUCUGGUUGUGAACCGCUUUCGCCUUUAACGAAGCGUUAUUGACGGUAAUGAGUAAGGAAGCAACGGCUAACUACGUG
rnacentral:rRNA from 1 species